UACGGAGGGUGCGAGCGUUAAUCGGAAUUACUGGGCGUAAAGCGCACGCAGGCGGUUUGUUAAGCUAGAUGUGAAAGCCCCGGGCUCAACCUGGGAUGGCCAUUUAGAACUGGCAGACUAGAGUCUUGGAGAGGGGAGUGGAAUUCCAGGUGUAGCGGUGAAAUGCGUAGAUAUCUGGAGGAACAUCAGUGGCGAAGGCGACUCCCUGGCCAAAGACUGACGCUCAUGUGCGAAAGUGUGGGUAGCGAACAGG
rnacentral:rRNA from 1 species